rnacentral:rRNA from 1 species
CGGGCGAGGUUGCUUCGGUAACUGAGCUAGCGGCGGACGGGUGAGUAAUGCUUAGGAAUCUGCCUAUUAGUGGGGGACAACAUUCCGAAAGGAAUGCUAAUACCGCAUACGCCCUACGGGGGAAAGCAGGGGAUCUUCGGACCUUGCGCUAAUAGAUGAGCCUAAGUCAGAUUAGCUAGUUGGUGGGGUAAAGGCCUACCAAGGCGACGAUCUGUAGCGGGUCUGAGAGGAUGAUCCGCCACACUGGGACUGAGACACGGCCCAGACUCCUACGGGAGGCAGCAGUGGGGAAUAUUGGACAAUGGGCGCAAGCCUGAUCCAGCCAUGCCGCGUGUGUGAAGAAGGCCUUUUGGUUGUAAAGCACUUUAAGCGAGGAGGAGGCUACUUGGAUUAAUACUCUAGGAUAGUGGACGUUACUCGCAGAAUAAGCACCGGCUAACUCUGUGCCAGCAGCCGCGGUAAUACAGAGGGUGCGAGCGUUAAUCGGAUUUACUGGGCGUAAAGCGUGCGUAGGCGGCUUCUUAAGUCGGAUGUGAAAUCCCUGAGCUUAACUUAGGAAUUGCAUACGAUACUGGGAAGCUAGAGUAUGGGAGAGGAUGGUAGAAUUCCAGGUGUAGCGGUGAAAUGCGUAGAGAUCUGGAGGAAUACCGAUGGCGAAGGCAGCCAUCUGGCCUAAUACUGACGCUGAGGUACGAAAGCAUGGGGAGCAAACAGGAUUAGAUACCCUGGUAGUCCAUGCCGUAAACGA